GUCCCGAUAUAUUAUUUAUGUUCCUAAUAGCCACCCUAUAUCAUGAUUAUUUUUAGCAUACAUGUAUUUAUGCAGACUAAUAAAAUCCUCCCAUAUCUCAUCCUCAAUCCACUACUCAUCAAUGGUGCUACACUACUCACCAAUUCAUUACUUCCACCACCAACGUUAACAUCACUACCCACUCACACUUUCCACUCUCCCCACUCACACUUCACACCAUACUUUGCCCCCCACCAAAAUAAACUUUAGCCAUAAUAAUCAUUCCCUUCCACUCACCAUUUCUCCUACAUACCAAGGAACAAGUGCAGAGGUAAGAACUGCAAUCAUAAUUUCAUAAUUUAAUUCUUACAACCUUCAGCAACUUCCAAGCUCUCUCUCUCUAAAAAAAAAAAAAACGCCACUGCCCAUAACUCCAUUCACAGAAGCUUAGUAAACAACAACAAAUACAACAACAAACACCAGCCGAAACCUCAUCAAAAGGCUUUGUGGAUCGUGAGGACUAGCACUGCUAUACCAAUUCAGAGUUAAGAAUAAACGACAGGCUUUGCCUAUUCAGGUGGGCUUAUUUUCCAAAUGUAUGAUUUAGCUAUUGAGCUUAAAUAUUUCAAUGAAAUGAAAACUGUUUAUCCAAUAAAUAUUUUUGUGCACUCUGCUCUGUUUAAGGCUCGCAUAAGUUAAUCGAUCGAGGUUCUCUUAUGACCUAACACGUUGUUUGAGAAUUGUGUACACCUAUUAGCUGACUCGGUGGGUUGAUCUCCAUCGGGCACUAAUCAUGUAUGAGGCGUUAUAAGGGUGCUCGACGGGAUGUGUUCCGGAGCAUUGGGUCCCAAAUGGGAGCUUGGCUGGGUUACGCCCUCAGUCCAAGUAAAGCAGGAGUAAUGGAUCCGUCGGUGGCUAAAAGGUCCGGGAUCACAGCGAGUAACGGAAAGGGAGUGUGACAAUUGCGCGCAAUAUAAUAAAAUGUUUUAACAUGCUUAGAAGUUAUUUUUGUUUUAAAACCUUCUAAGUCAUGUAAAGUAUAAUUGGAUAAACUGCUCUUAUGAUUAUGAAAUAUUUAUAAAAAUGCUAGCCCACUAAGU